rnacentral:rRNA from 1 species
AUGAACGCUAGCGGGAGGCUUAACACAUGCAAGUCGAGGGGCAGCAUUAUCGCUUGCGAUAGAUGGCGACCGGCGCACGGGUGCGUAACGCGUAUACAACUUACCCUUUACAGGAAGAUAGCCCGGAGAAAUCCGGAUUAAUAUUCCAUAGUAUAAUAAAGCCACAUGGUUUAAUUAUUAAAGAUUCAUCGGUAAAGGAUGGGUAUGCGUGACAUUAGGUAGUUGGUAAGGUAACGGCUUACCAAGCCCACGAUGUCUAGAGGGCCUGAGAGGGUGAUCCCCCACACUGGUACUGAGACACGGACCAG